ACAGCGGAAAACCCCGUGGGUCACCGGGCACCAACAUGCAUAUCGGCUGAAACUUGGAUCCAUGCUAAAUUGAAGCAAAGUUGAACUAAUAUGCCGUGCGAAAAAGCAAAAUAAUUAUUUCAUUUUAAUGUUUAUUAAGCUAAACCGUCAUUAUAUUUUUCAUCUAAAACGUUAUUGAUGUGUAUUUUCUAAUCGCGUUUAGGCGUCGUGUAUCAGAUCGCAACUGCUAAUAAUUUCGUCGUGUGAGGCGGACUGUUAUGGAUGUAUCAAAUCUUCAGUGAUGAUGAAUGCGUUCAUGCAUCUACGAGCCGGUAACUGGCGGUAUCCAGAUCAUUGUCGUUUUGUUAGCUUACCUAAGCUACCGAAAUUAGCGACAGUGUAAAAUCUGUGCUGUGAGAAUUACAGCUGCCGUACGAAGCGCAGCAUAUUGGAGCAAGUCCAAUCGGACAGCAACCACCUGGAGCAAACGUACGCCGGACGAAUGGACGUGGUAGAGGCGUUAUGAUUGGAAGGCGAUAUUUGCGCUCUGAAAAUGCUAGCACAGAUGUUUGGGCCACAGAGUUUCAGAUAAACUGUUCUCAUCAAUGCCACACCAUGUACGGUCGGUUAGUUACACUUCAUCACGAAGGACAAUCACAUCUGGG